rnacentral:rRNA from 1 species
CAUACGACUCUCGGCAACGGAUAUCUCGGCUCUCGCAUCGAUGAAGAACGUAGCGAAAUGCGAUACUUGGUGUGAAUUGCAGAAUCCCGUGAACCAUCGAGUCUUUGAACGCAAGUUGCGCCCGAGGCCUUUCGGUUGAGGGCACGCCUGCCUGGGCGUCA